rnacentral:rRNA from 1 species
CACGUAGGGGGCGAGCGUUGUCCGGAUUUAUUGGGCGUAAAGAGCUCGUAGGCGGCUCAGUAAGUCAGGUGUGAAAACUCCAGGCUCAACCUGGAGACGCCACCUGAUACUGCUGUGGCUAGAGUCCGGUAGGGGAGCAUGGAAUUCCUGGUGUAGCGGUGAAAUGCGCAGAUAUCAGGAGGAACACCAGCGGCGAAGGCGGCGCUCUGGGCCGGUACUGACACUGAGGAGCGAAAGCGUGGGGAGCAAACAGG